GAUUGAAUAGUUUAAAUAAAAUAUUAAAUUGCAAAUUUAAAGAUAAUUUUUUUUUCAAUCU
rnacentral:tRNA from 1 species